GGUCUGCAGUCGGAGACUUGCAGGCAGCAAACACGGUGCGAACGAACAGGAGGGGGGGAAAUAAAAAAAUCUAAACGUGGAGCAGCCGGCCUGGGACCGAGAAGGGGAAUCGAUGCAAGGAGCGCAGUAAUAAUAAUAGAAACCCACUUCGGAGUAAACAGCAUUUUAAAAAGCUGCGACUCAAGAUAACUGAAACCUAAAAUAAAACCUGCUCAUGCACCAUGGUUUUUCAAACUCGGUACCCUUCAUGGAUUAUUUUAUGCUACAUCUGGCUGCUCCGCUUUGCACACACGGGGGAGGCGCAGGCUGCGAAGGAAGUACUACUGCUGGAUUCUAAAGCACAACAAACAGAGUUGGAAUGGAUUUCCUCUCCACCCAAUGGGUGGGAAGAAAUUAGUGGUUUGGAUGAGAAUUAUACUCCAAUAAGAACAUACCAGGUGUGCCAGGUCAUGGAGCCCAACCAAAACAAUUGGCUGCGGACUAACUGGAUUUCGAAAGGCAAUGCACAAAGGAUUUUUGUAGAAUUGAAAUUCACUCUGAGGGAUUGUAACAGUCUUCCUGGAGUACUGGGAACUUGCAAGGAAACCUUUAAUUUGUACUAUUAUGAAACAGACUACGAUACUGGCAGGAUUAUAAGAGAAAACCUCUAUGUAAAAAUAGACACCAUUGCUGCAGAUGAAAGUUUUACCCAAGGUGACCUUGGUGAAAGAAAGAUGAAACUUAAUACUGAGGUGAGAGAGAUUGGACCUUUGUCCAAAAAGGGAUUCUAUCUUGCCUUUCAGGAUGUAGGUGCUUGCAUAGCUUUGGUUUCGGUCAAAGUAUACUACAAGAAGUGCUGGUCCAUUAUUGAGAACUUAGCUAUCUUUCCAGAUACAGUGACUGGUUCAGAAUUUUCCUCUUUAGUUGAGGUUCGAGGGACAUGUGUCAGCAGUGCAGAGGAAGAGGCGGAAAACUCCCCCAGGAUGCACUGCAGUGCAGAAGGAGAAUGGUUAGUGCCCAUUGGAAAAUGUAUCUGCAAAGCGGGCUACCAGCAAAAAGGGGACAUGUGUGAACCCUGUGGCCGUGGGUUCUACAAAUCUUCCUCACAAGAUCUUCAGUGCUCUCGUUGCCCGACCCACAGUUCCUCUGAUCGAGAAGGAUCCUCCAGGUGUGAAUGUGAAGAUGGGUAUUAUAGGGCUCCAUCUGAUCCACCGUAUGUUGCAUGCACAAGGCCUCCAUCUGCACCACAGAACCUCAUUUUCAACAUCAACCAAACCACAGUAAGUUUGGAAUGGAGUCCUCCUGCAGACAAUGGGGGAAGGAACGAUGUCACCUACAGGAUACUGUGUAAGCGAUGCAGUUGGGAGCAGGGCGAAUGUGUGCCCUGUGGGAGUAACAUUGGGUACAUGCCCCAGCAGACUGGAUUAGAGGAUAACUACGUCACUGUCAUGGACCUGCUAGCCCAUGCCAAUUACACCUUUGAAGUGGAAGCUGUGAACGGAGUUUCUGACUUGAGCCGAUCCCAGAGGCUCUUUGCUGCUGUUAGCAUCACCACGGGUCAAGCAGCUCCCUCGCAAGUGAGCGGAGUAAUGAAGGAGAGAGUGCUGCAGCGGAGUGUGGAGCUUUCCUGGCAGGAACCAGAGCAUCCCAAUGGAGUCAUCACCGAGUAUGAAAUCAAGUAUUACGAGAAAGAUCAAAGGGAAAGGACCUACUCAACUGUAAAAACCAAGUCCACCUCAGCCUCCAUAAAUAAUCUGAAACCAGGAACAGUGUAUGUUUUCCAGAUUCGGGCUUUUACUGCUGCAGGUUAUGGAAAUUACAGUCCCAGACUUGAUGUUGCUACGCUAGAGGAAGCUACAGCCACAGCUGUCUCCAGUGAACAGAAUCCUGUUAUUAUCAUUGCUGUGGUGGCGGUGGCAGGGACCAUCAUUUUGGUGUUCAUGGUGUUUGGCUUCAUCAUUGGAAGAAGGCACUGUGGUUAUAGCAAAGCUGACCAAGAAGGGGAUGAAGAACUUUACUUUCAUUGCACCAAAACCUACAUUGACCCUGAAACCUAUGAGGACCCAAAUAGAGCUGUCCAUCAAUUCGCCAAGGAGCUAGAUGCCUCCUGUAUUAAAAUUGAGCGUGUGAUUGGUGCAGGAGAAUUUGGAGAAGUCUGCAGUGGUCGUCUGAAACUUCCAGGGAAAAGAGAUGUAGCAGUAGCCAUAAAAACCCUGAAAGUUGGUUACACAGAAAAACAAAGGAGAGACUUUUUAUGUGAAGCAAGCAUCAUGGGGCAGUUUGACCACCCAAAUGUUGUCCAUUUGGAAGGAGUUGUUACAAGAGGAAAACCAGUCAUGAUUGUAAUAGAGUUCAUGGAAAAUGGAGCCCUAGAUGCAUUUCUCAGGAAACAUGAUGGUCAAUUUACCGUCAUUCAGUUAGUAGGAAUGCUGAGAGGAAUUGCUGCUGGAAUGAGAUAUUUGGCUGAUAUGGGAUAUGUUCACAGGGACCUUGCAGCUCGCAAUAUUCUUGUCAACAGCAAUCUUGUUUGUAAAGUGUCAGAUUUUGGCCUGUCCCGGGUUAUAGAGGACGAUCCAGAAGCUGUCUAUACAACUACUGGUGGAAAAAUUCCAGUAAGGUGGACAGCACCUGAAGCCAUCCAGUAUCGAAAAUUCACAUCAGCCAGUGAUGUCUGGAGCUAUGGAAUAGUCAUGUGGGAAGUUAUGUCUUAUGGAGAAAGACCUUACUGGGACAUGUCAAAUCAAGAUGUAGGUGCUAUACUAUAUAAACAGACAAGAUGAUUCAGUACAUUAGUAACAUUAUUGUUGGAACAUGUGGGUUAUAAAAGCAAUAGAAGAAGGUUAUCGCCUACCAGCACCCAUGGACUGCCCAGCUGGUCUUCACCAGCUAAUGCUGGAUUGUUGGCAAAAGGAGCGUGCUGAAAGGCCAAAGUUUGAGCAGAUAGUUGGAAUUCUAGACAAAAUGAUUCGAAACCCAAACAGUCUGAAAACACCACUGGGAACUUGUAGUAGGCCAAUAAGCCCUCUUCUGGAUCAAAACACUCCUGACUUCACUACCUUCUGUUCAGUUGGAGAAUGGCUACAGGCUAUUAAGAUGGAAAGAUACAAAGAUAACUUCACAGCAGCCGGUUACAAUUCCCUUGAAUCAGUGGCCAGGAUGACUAUUGAGGACGUGAUGAGUUUAGGGAUCACACUGGUUGGCCAUCAAAAGAAAAUCAUGAGCAGCAUUCAGACUAUGAGAGCACAAAUGCUACAUUUACAUGGAACUGGCAUUCAAGUGUGAUAAGAAGUUCUCCCUAUGUGGGAGUUUACAGACUGCAAGAGAACAGUACUGGCCUUCAGUAUAUACAUAGAAUGCUGCUAGAAGAUGAUUGAUGGACUGGGUCCUUCCUACAGUGAAGAGAAGAUUUAAGAAGCACCUAUAGACUUGAACUCCUAAGUGCCACCAGAAUAUAUAAAAAGGGAAUUUAGGAUCCACCACUGGUGGCCAGGAAAACAGCAGUGACAAUAAACAAAGUACUACCUGAAAAACAUCCAAACACCUUGAGCUCUCUAACCUCCUUUUUAUCUUAUAGACUUUUUAAAAUGUACAUAAAGAAUUUAAGAAAGAAUAUAUUUGUCAAAUAAAAUCAUGAUCUUAUUGUUAAAAUCAAUGAAAUAUUUUCCUUAAAUAUGUGAUUUCAGACUUAUUCCUUUUUAAAAUCAUUUGUGUUUAUUCUUCACAAGGACUUUGUUUUAGAAAGUUGUUUAUAGCUUUGGAUCUUUUUAGUGUGAAAUCUAUGACACAUUACUACACUGGGUACCUUUGAAGAAUAUCAAAUUAAAAAGAAAAAACAUAGCAUGAUUGAAGUUAUAUCUUUGUCACAACAUUGGUAUCCUUUAUGUGCCAUUUUAUUCUGUUUAAUCAGUACUGUUUUGAUAUUAUUUGCUGAUUGGCAGGUAGUCCAGAAAAAUGCAAGUUGCCAAGAGCUCUGAUAUUUUUUAAAAGAAGUUUUUUUGUAAAAAUCAGACAACACACUAACUUUUCAAUGAAAUAAAAAAGCAAUAAUGAUCCAUAAAUACUAUAAGGCACUUUUAACAGAUUGUUUAUAGAGUGAUUUUACUAGUCAGAAUUUAAUAAAAGUAACUCAAAUUUUAGGUUUAUGUCUAUAUAAAACAAAAGAUGAGGCACUUCAUCUAAAGAAGGUUGGUGAAGCCAAGUCUCUGAAAGCAAGAACUAUCCAGUGUUAUCUAAAAUUUAAUCUGAGCACAUCAAGAUUUUUUCAAUCUUGUGACAUUAGGAAAUUUAGGAGAAGUAGUCGACGUCUAUUUUAUAUUCUUUUCUGUUGAAUGCAGUCCAAACAUGAAAGGAAAGAAUUAAGUUUUAUAUUAGAACUCUGAAGCAUGAUAAAGGGGGCAGUUCACAAUUUUCACUGUUCAAAAACAAAUUUGCUGCAUAGAAUAUCACCACUGCAAGUUAAAAACAAAACAAAAAGUCUUUUAUUUGUGAACACUGAUGCAAGAAACAUGUUAAAUGAAAGAACUCUUUUUACCCAAGAAGGAAGAGGUGAAGGAUGUGGCUAAAAAGAAAAAAAAAAAACUUUAUUUAUUAAACCAUAUUAUUUGAUUACUGUGUUAGAAUUUCAUAAGCAAUAAUUAAACGUGUCUUUAUAGAUAUUUCAGGAAUGUAUACAUAUUGUGAGUAAUGCUUUCAAAAGUUAUGAAAAUCAUGAACUACCCCAGAAUUGAACUGUUGUACUUCCAAAGAAAAUUGGGCUGUUUAUAAUGAUUUUAAUAGAGAAAGAUCCCAGGGAUCGGUCAUAAUUGGUCUUGUUUGAUAAUGUGGACAUCCACAAACAAACAAACAACAGAAACAAAAUCUGUAAAUGUUCCUUUGUAAAACUUGUAAAUUUUAUUUAUACUGUCUUGUUUUGUACACACAUUUCUCUGUAGUGGGCUCUGAAUACAUUGAAAAUGCACUAUAUUUUUCUAUUUUACUUGCAGAGCAUCACAAAAGAACAGGUAUUUUCAGUGCUACAUAAUGUGUUUUCCCACAUUUAGGACCAAAGAUGGCUAUAGAAAAACUCAAAUGGAUUGCUUCCCAAACCCCUCCCCACCCUUUUUUUUUUCUUUUAGGUCACUGUACAGUGUUAUUUGAUAUUUUAAUUUAUUUUUUGGAUUGACUAGAAAAAUCAUUUUAAUUUCACUAAAAUGUUUUUUGUCCCUAAGGAAAAGUAAUCUGUAAAAAUAAUUUUAAUUAGCAUAAUACAGUCACCUAGAUACUUCCAUUUGUAAUCUUUGUAAUAGACUGUAAAUAUAUUUUUGGAACUAUAACACAAUGUGCUUGAGGGUUAUUUUUCAGUGUCUGCAGUGUAUACAAGUGUUUAUACUAAGUACAGCACUUUACAAUUCUAAUCAGUAGCAUUGGCCUUUGUGAGAAUGAGUGAGAGUUUGAGUGAGUGUUCUUAAUUCCGUUUGGAUUCUAGACUCACUAAUAAUGAAGUUCUUUUCUUGUUCAUAGCUUAAGGUGCUUAUUUUUUCUAUUAAAAUUAAAUUAACAAAAAGCCAUUCUAGAAAUAGAAGACAUAGUAUGGUACACGCAAACGGUGUCUUUCCUGCUUUUUUCUAGCACUAGAUUUAUAGUUGAGUAGUCUUUCUUGAGUAGAAGGGCAGAAUAAAAGUUUUUUUGAGUUUUUUUUUCAAAAAUAACUUUUUUCUUCAGCAAUAUACCUCAUCUGCCUUAAAUUUUUUACAGCUCUUUACAGGGAAAGGGGAGAAGGGAUGGGAAAGACACACAGCACAAUAGGAAGUGUAUGAUUACAUCACUCUCUCUCGUUUGUAGGUUUCUUUUCUCAAUUGACAUUAUGAUUUUGAAGUACAUGUAUGUGAAACAAAUAUUAGGAGAAAAAGAAUUAACAUUGUAAUGCUGAUUGUAAUACUCUCUUCCAGAAAGAGACGAAAUGGUAUAAUGAUAAGAAUGUACAACUUGCACCUUGAAGUCUUUUUUGAUAAAUUAGUGCUCAGGGGAGGAAAAGUAAAGAAAGCAAAAGUCAAAAAUAGAAUUCCAAAAUUAAAAAUGCAAAAGGAAAUGGCCUCCUUGCUUUAAUAGAGCCACCUUUUAUAGAACGCUGUUUUCACACUUGGUCUGUGUUUUGCAUUCAAUACUGAAAUAAAAGUAACUUUUAUUACAUCUGAAUCUAACAUUUUCUCAGCAAUUGAUCUGGGCCUUGUUUACUAGAACUGGUGGUUUAUGCUUGUCAGAGCACUAUUAGUUGAAUCAUAUUGUAUACUUAUGUAAUCUACAUUAGCUAGUACUAUUUAGGACUAUAUUUUAAUUGCUCCUCUUAUCCGUGUUUUUAAGACAAUUAAAAUGGUGUAAUUCACCUCUCUUUUUUUAUUUAGGUAAUGCUGAUAUUCUCCCUUUUGUUUCCUGAGUAGCCUAGAACUGUGCUACUCACUGAUGUGCAUGUUCAAAUAAAUUACUAAUGUGUAUUUUUUUGCUAUAUGUGGAGAAAUCAUGGGGAACUCGGGGCGAGAUGUGCUUUUUGUUGGUUGAAUUUGUCCCUCCUUGCCUAAGAAUUACUACAGGGGUCAUCCUUUUAUAAGGACAAACUGCUUUUGAACAGUGUCUUCAAUGUAUCAAGCACAAAUAACUCUUUCUUCAACACGAAUCAUAAGUCUCUUUUUACCAGCUUAAAAUAAUAAACGAGUCUAUUAGACGAUGUAAAGAAAA